AUUAUUUGAAGGGUUAGAAAAACUCUCUCCGAUCAGCAUUGUCAAGCCGCAUGAGGGGCAGAAGGCCAUGUGGCAACAUGAAGAGUCAAUCACGCCAACUGUCAUUGGUACCUGAUGGUCAUCCACCCUUGAGACCGAGAAAUCAUUAUACUUGACAGUUUAUACUCGAGGGCACUCAAUCGAUACAGGCAACAUAUUGAUUUGAUAAAGGAGGCGUUGCCUAUAUUAUUUUACGCCACUGGAGAUAGGGCUGCGCUGGAAGGAAAUGCUUGGACGGUCAGAGAAGAUACCUCUAUACAAAAGCAGACGAACGGAUAUGACUGUGGCAUUUUUGUCAUGAAAUAUAUCGACAUUUUGUGCAGCGAUCACAUUUUGACAGGGAGAGACUUGCAGCCAUUCACUUCUAGCUUUAGGGAGUCAAUAGGCUAUGAUUGCCUUAGUGAGUUCAAAAUAUGAUAUAUUUGUCUUAGCCUUGAGAGGAAUCGGAAAAUUUUGUGAAAUGUUGUAAACUGUUGUAAAUGAUGUACUGUAAAACAUUCAUGGUGAAAGGAUGUAAAUGAUGUGCUGUAUAUUU